UACGGGGGAGCAAGCGUUGUUCGGAUUUACUGGGCGUAAAGGCGCGUAGGCGGCCAGCACAGUCAGUUCGGUGAAACUCUACCGAGCUUAACUCGGAACGGUCAACUGAUACUGUGGCGCUAGAGUGCGGAAGGGGCAACUGGAAUUCUUGGAUGUAGCGGUGAAAUGCGUGAGAUAUCCGGAAGGAACACCGGUGGCGAAGGCGGCUUCCUGGACCGACACUGACGCUGAGGCGCGAAAGCUAGGGGAGCAAACGGG
rnacentral:rRNA from 1 species